UACGUAGGGCGCAAGCGUUGUCCGGAAUUAUUGGGCGUAAAGAGCUCGUAGGCGGCUUGUCACGUCGGAUGUGAUAGCCCGGGGCUUAACUCCGGGUCUGCAUUCGAUACGGGCUAGCUAGAGUGUGGUAGGGGAGAUCGGAAUUCCUGGUGUAGCGGUGAAAUGCGCAGAUAUCAGGAGGAACACCGGUGGCGAAGGCGGAUCUCUGGGCCAUUACUGACGCUGAGGAGCGAAAGCGUGGGGAGCGAACAGG
rnacentral:rRNA from 1 species